rnacentral:rRNA from 1 species
AGUGAACGCUGGCGGCAGGCCUAAUACAUGCAAGUCGAACGGCAGCACAGUGGAGCUUGCUCCAUGGGUGGCGAGUGGCGUACGGGUGAGGAAUACAUGGGAAUCUGCCCAGUCGUGGGGGAUAACGUAGGGAAACUUACGCUAAUACCGCAUGCGCCCUUCGGGGGAAAGCCGGGGACCUUCGGGCCUGGCGCGAUUGGAUGAGCCCAUGUUCGAUUAGCUAGUUGGCGGGGUAAAGGCCCACCAAGGCGACGAUCGAUAGCUGGUCUGAGAGGAUGAUCAGCCACACUGGGACUGAGACACGGCCCAGACUCCUACGGGAGGCAGCAGUAGGGAAUAUUGGACAAUGGGCGCAAGCCUGAUCCAGCCAUGCCGCGUGAGUGAAGAAGGCCCUCGGGUUGUAAAGCUCUUUUGUCCGGGAAGAAAAGCAUCGGGCUAAUACCUCGGUGUUCUGACGGUACCGGAAGAAUAAGCACCGGCUAACUUCGUG